UACGUAGGGUGCAAGCGUUGUCCGGAAUUAUUGGGCGUAAAGGGCUCGUAGGCGGUCUGUCGCGUCGGCUGUGAAAACCCGGGGCUCAACCCCGGGCCUGCAGUCGAUACGGGCAGACUAGAGUGUGGUAGGGGAGACUGGAAUUCCUGGUGUAGCGGUGAAAUGCGCAGAUAUCAGGAGGAACACCGGUGGCGAAGGCGGGUCUCUGGGCCAUAACUGACGCUGAGGAGCGAAAGCGUGGGGAGCGAACAGG
rnacentral:rRNA from 1 species